rnacentral:rRNA from 1 species
GACGGAAGGUGCAAGCGUUGCUCGGAAUCACUGGGCGUAAAGGGUGCGUAGGCGGCUGUGUAAGUCUGGCGUGAAAGCCCCGGGCUCAGCCCGGGAAGUGCGCUCGAAACUGCACGGCUCGAGUGCCGGAGGGGAGAGUGGAAUUCCUGGUGUAGCGGUGAAAUGCGUAGAUAUCAGGAGGAAUACCGGUGGCGAAGGCGGCUUACUGGUCCGGAUCUGACGCUGAGGCGCGAAAGCGUGGGGAGCAAACAGG